CUCUCAUUUCAGCCAACUCCUGAACUUUUAGUUUUACUGCUUAAAGUGCGUGCCUGUGCAUAUACGCAUUCAUAUAUGUGAACAUUUAUGGGUUGCAUGGUGUCAGGGUUGGGGGUUGGGGAUUGAGAUAUACCCAGAGGUCAACUUCAGCUGUUUCUCAGUCAAGACCCAUCCUGUGUUUUGAGACCGGAUCUCUCACAGUCUAGGGAUCACCAAUGCACCUAGGCUAGCUGGCCAGCAAGCCUCAGCCAUCCACUUGCCUCUACCUUUUCAAUACUGAGAUUACACACGUGUGCCACCACCCCUAGCAUUUUAACGUGGCCCUGAGAUUGAACUCUGAUCCUCGUGCUUUGGGCAGUAAGCAUUUUACUGACCAAGUUAUUGCCAUGUAAGGGAAUAUGUUCUUGGAUCGUGGAGGAGACUGGCAAUUACUGGAUCCCACCCCAGCCACACAGCUGAUAUUGUAACUGAAGCACAAGGUUUUUAAAUUAGACCUGACUUUUCCAUCUCCUUAGGAGCUAAUAACUCCCCAUAGAUUUUUCUUUUAAAGCUGUCUGAUUGAUUGGAUAUCAAAUCAGUUUAUAGGCAAGCAAUAAUAAUACUAGCAACGUCUUAAUUUUUGUUAUUCAAAUUAUAAGGUUAAUUUGCUAUACAUAAGCUUGGUGUCAUUUUCUCUAUGCCUCUUCUUCAAACAUACAUGGGUUUCCUCUAUCUUAGGAGAGUGGGGCUUAGCUCAGUGAUAGAGCGCUUAUGCAUGAAGCACGAUAGCCUGGCUUUGGUCCUCAACAUUGAAGAAAACAAACAAACAAUCAACAUGACAGAAAAAUCCACAAAAUGGCCUUUACUUUUUCUGUCCUUUGCACCUGGACAAGGCUUCCUCUGCCUUCAUUGCUGGAGUUCCAACACAUGCUACCUAUAUUUUUUUCCUCACGUUUUAUUUACCCCUCAGAAUCCAAAGGCUUAAUGUCUGUUUUAGUCUCUUUUCCACUGGCUGCUGAGCGAGCUCCCCUGUAAUUCUUUCAGUUCACCAUGAAGUCCCACACCUGGAGUUCCCGUGGCUCUCCUGACUCCUCACAUCUAAUUUCUUGUUCUUCCACCACCUCUGUCUCUCGUGGGCACCACCCAGUGAACAUUUCUGCAUAGACAUCAUUCUGUCCUCUAAGUCUCGAUGGCCAGGGCCUCAGUCUUGUAAGCUGUUCUCCUGCUUGGCUUGUUUGCCUACCCAUCUACAUAACUCUAUCUUUUCAUUAAGAGAGCUCUGUCAUUGCUUUAGCUAUCUUGGCCUAAGCAUCGGAUCUUCAGUGUCCACCUGACUCCUUUCCCCUUUGAUUUACCCAGUGUCACAAUGUCACAAUGCCUGUGUCAUCUCUUCUUUUGCAUCUGUGCUGUCCUUAUGAGUCCUCUUACUCAUGCCCAAAUGACUCUGGGUGCACUGUUAUCAUUUUCGUUGUCACCAAGGCUACAGUAAUCACCUUCUUUCUUUUUUUUCCGUAGAUGGUGCUGCAGCUCUUUCCCCCAUUGCUUAAUAUCUUGAUGGCAUUUUAAAGACCAUGGGUUCUGAAUCAACCUGUUGCCGUUUUAUCCAAGAUUCUUCACCAAAAGUCCUCUAUCCUUGCUGGACCGUGGUGCCCACUGACCAUGAAUGAAAUUCUUCUCCCUCGCCACCAACGUGCUCCCAUUCACCUGGGACCCAGCAGCAUGUCUACAGCCACCUCUGUUCAUGACUUCCCCAUCCUCUUGACACAUUACCAUCACCUGAGAAAUACCGAGCAGCAAAGAACUUCUGCAAUGCCAACCAAACUAUCACAGUUGUUCAUAUCCCUGCUUCUCCUGCUGUGUCCGCAGCUCUUUUUGACCAUUCCUACAGGCCAAGAACCUGGAAACACCUGGCCCAGAUCCUGACUGCUAUCAACACACCAACUUUGUCCAGCUUGAAAACAAAGCAGAACAAAACAAGACAAAGGCAAAGACAAAAAAACAAAACAAAACAAAAAAAUCCCCCAAAGACCAAAACCAAAACAAAAAACCCACCAAAACCUCUGUUCCUUUUGUGUUUUAUUUUCCUCAUUAGUCAUUCCUGUUAGUGAGCACACACACGCCACGCCUCAUCAAAACAUACUGUACCUUAUUUCCAUGUCACUCCCUCCCCACUUAUUCUUCUUCUGAACAAAAACACUCUAUUCACAUUUUCUCCCUCCUCCUAGUCUUCCUCAGGUCUACUCCAGGCAAGCUCACACCCCACUACCAAGGAAACCCUUACAGUGAAGCUUCCAGCGACAUCUGCACUGCCAAGGCCCACUCUGAAGUCCCAGCUCUUGUCUUGGUCAACGAGUCGCAGUCACUGACUUCGGGGGCUGAUGAAUCCCUUCUGUCCUGAAACACUUGCUUCUCUUGGCUCGCUCUUGGGACUCUGAACUCUUGCAUCUCUCUGGCCAUGUCCUUUUGCCUCCUUGUGCUUCCCUAGACUCCAAUAGAUGGUGAUUUUCCAUGUCUCAGUCCUUGACCUUUCCUGUCAAGGCUUACUCUCUGGCUGACAUCAUGCAGUCUCAUGGUUGAAGCCUCAUCUAUAUUUGGAUUCUCUUGGUUCCGAGUUUCUAUCUUUAGCCUGAACUUCUUCCUUUAACUCUCUGCUUGCACAUCCCAUGGCUUCCUUACUGUCGGUAUCUCGCAGCUAGUAGAACUCAUAGUGCACUCUGUCUGAGCUCCUGACGUGGUCCACACUUCCACUCGCCUCCAGCAGCCUGUGCUUUGUCUGCUGACUCUAUUGUCACCCUUCCUUUUUGUUGUCACAUUGGAAAUUCUUUUGGUUUCACUUUCAAGACCUCCCCAGAAACCACACGCUUGUCGCCAUCUGACAGGCUACCUCUAUCCUGGUCUAAAACCUGUCAAUUGCCUAUGAACUAAACAAACAGCCUGCACAAGUACAGACCCUGAAGUCCCACCAUGCAGACUGGACGCAGUGGCUCUGCCAGUAAAGAAUGACCUGAGCAAGGUGCUCAACUCUGCUUCUCCAGGUUCCUCACUGGGAAGACUGGGAUCCUAACAACAAUGCUGCUACUAUGACUAGAAGUUGUGGAAAGUAUUAAAGAAAAAAAAAAAACACCCCACAUAUAAAAUAUUGCCAGCCCCUACCAAAUAGCAUAUGACCAAUAAAUGCUAAGUAUUAUCUAUAAAGCUAUAAAAACUCCAUGACAGCGGAUGAAAGGUGGUCAGCAAAAUCAGAGAAGUUAUGGGAAUAACUAUUCUGCUGAGCAUAAGCCAAGACGAUCUUUCCAUAUCCAAACCUAAGACAGGUGUGGUGGUGUGUGCCAACAAUCUCAGUGCUUUGGAGGCAGAGGCAAGAGGAUCAAGAUUUCAAGGCGAUCUUCAGACAAUAGUGAGCCCAAGGGAAGCCUGGGCUGCAUUAGGUGCUAUGUCAAAAAUUCAAACAUGAAUAAAUAAAUAAAAAUUAAUUAAUUAAUACCCAGGCCCAUGUUGAAUCAGGAUAGAGCAUGUUUGCAUCAACUACUCUGACCUGUGCCUGUCUCUCGGUCCAUUGCACCUUGGAGCAGCUUUUAUCUGUCUUACAGUUUUACAGACAGACAACCCACUGCUAAGAUGCCUCGAUCUGGUAGUACUUGGUAUUAUCAUGUCGCUGUCCUCAGCUUUAAGAACAAUUUCUUCUCCAAAUCCCCUUCCAGAUCCCAGGAAUCACAGAUGGCCUUAAUCUCAAUCUUGGCUCUAUUCUUGGUCAAUCCCCCAAUCACUCUUAAGGAUUCCAUAUCUGGGUUACUGUUGCUGCUACCAAUGACCACAUUUAAAAGUGAGCCCAGCUCGGCAUCAGGUCCUCUGCCUAUAUACUGGAGCUUCCAGGUUAAGUGUUUUAUGGGUGCUUGAGUGUGCAAACAAGAGGGUCUCUGACUCUUCUGCUUCUUGUGCUUUUUUCCUUCUGUUGGUUUGUCUUGCCCAACUUUAAUGUAUCUUAUUAUAUUCGUUUUAUCUUAUUAUAUUUUAUUUUGUUAUAUUAAGAAGUGAAUGAAUGAAUGAAUGAAUGAAUGAAUGAAUAAAUGAAAACUUAGCAUAAAGGUUAACAACUGAACUGUCACUUAUACCUGCUGGGGACAGGAGAGGGAAAAAUCAGUUUUCUCCGACAAAAUAACACUGGGUGUAUCAACCAUUCCAGAACAGGCCUCACGUUCCAUGUCGGCUGACCAGCACAUAACUGGACUCCACAAUUAUUAUUUUUUUGUGUGUAUUUUCUUUGGCUAUGCUUUGGCAGAUCCUUUUUUUUUUUCUCUUUUGUGGUAUGGUUUUUACCUUGUUUUCUUGGUUUUGAGGGG
rnacentral:lncRNA from 1 species